AUAACACUUCAAAAGACAACAGGACCCAUUCUAAUCUGUAAUAUUGUCUACACUGGACUGUUUAUCUAUUUUAUCUGUUGCGGUGCAGUGUGAUCCUAUGAGACAACGAUGGCGUCUGGUGUAGACACGGUGUCAUAAAGCAUGUUGGUAGGUGGAAGCAGUGCAGCUCACUAGGUUUUGGGAUAGACCAUACUUUCUAUUUAAAGCCUUCACAAACCUAGGUAUUUGUGGCAAACUAGCAUUUCAUUUUAAUUGUUACCAUCAUAAUUCAAGACAAAUUCAUUAUUCCUUUAUACAGUACCUUUCUUACUACUGCAGUCAUUGGAGAUAAAGUUCUGCUGCUUGAAGCCACACCAUCCUCCAUCAGGUCCAUCUGUCUCAUUCUUAGACCUUGGGAAAACCUGAGGGACAUUUGAGUGUCCUUUCUGUGAACAAAUUAAAAUUGAGAAAAUUAAACCUGAAUCGGCUUGAAAACAUGAAAGAAUCAGAGUCGAUUGGAAAUUGAAGACUCCAAAACCCGGGAAGAAUGACGCAGGCACGUCACAAUCUACGCACACAGCGGCAUUACCCGUCAUACUCUACGAGACAAAUCUGGACAAUCAUCGAACAUCGUGACUGAUUAAGCCUAAAAGCAUCAAAGAAAUCUC